rnacentral:lncRNA from 1 species
UUUCAGAAAGUAAUUAUGGCACUAAAAUGCAUUAACAAUUUACUACCUUAGUUUUAGCAUCAGACAAAAGUGUGAGUAAAUACAGGACGCACAACAACUUUAUUGUUAGUUCGUUUCGUUGAGGUUCCGUGUCGGCUUUUUGUUGUGUCUUUCAAUAAUAUUUCCUCCCUAGAUCGGUUAUUUGUGUAAUUCAAAAUAUUUCAUGCGAAGCACCGACUAAUAUGUCAUCAGAGCUCCUGAGAAUAAAUAAUCUGCAACAUCGUAAAACACCAAUAGCUGACUGUAACAUGUGGCCAGUGAUACCACUACGGUAAACCAAGAUACAGUUUUUUCUAGACAGAAUCGGUAAACGUCAUGAACUGGCAAGGAAACGGACGAAGUGUCUGUAUACCUCUCAGGACUGUCUAAAUCCUAUCGUAUGGAACCAUGUGAUUAUUCGUUAAUUUCCAUAAUUUUUUAAAAUUACUUUUCUCACACUGUGUUCAGCUCUAUGUGGUUGUAGUCACUCACACACGCACACAAAGAAGUUCACGCAUUAUCUUUCAUAUACAAGUACAUACAUCUGUCUAUCAAUCUUACAAUGGUUAAAUCUCUAAUUUUUACAAGUGCACCUUCACCAUUUUUUUUCUUUGCAUAUUUGUAAUCUUCAAUAUCUAACUGAAACCUAGGAAUUUGAUAAAAUUUCCAGAAAAAUGUAUUUUUGAAGGUGAGGUGCGAAAGUGCAUUAGCCCCAUUUCUUUAACCAUAUUUCGGGACAACAUUUUGCAGAAAUACGUUUUCAAGGAUCAGCUUGUCGGAGUUUGGCACAGUUUGUUUGUAAAAGAUACACAUUAUUAAGAAAAUUACAAGAGGAAAAACUGGGACAGAAUGUGAAAUGUUAGUGGUAUAAAGGAGCUUCUAUGUGAGAUCCAUCAUGAAUAUUGAUCAUCAUUUGAAGACUAAUGGAAGAUGUUAUAAAUAAUAGAUAUAACCCUCUUUAUAUGAUUUGUCUAUGGUGAAAAACUCUGAAAUAUUUCUUCUGAAUUAAUAGCAACAUUUGUUUUCAUCAUUACCUGGAAUAUUUACUAAAGUAUUUUCCCAUUCAGUCUGAACUUGGAAAAAUCAACAAAGGUGUUUGUAUUACCUUUAGAUAUUGACAAAGACCAGACUUGUGGAAAAUAUAGCAGCAGAAGUAUUUGAAUCAACAAAGAAAUAUAUAAAGAAGAACGGGAAAAUAUAUUUUGUUUGUAUACAAGAGAACAAUAAUGAAUCCUCAGAAGAUGACAAAAGAAAGAGAAAAAUUAUCACACCAAUGUGAUAUCUGUAAAAAGACUUUUUCUAACAAGGGAAAUCUCACUAUUCACAAAUGUGUUCAUACAGGAGGGAAACCAUAUCACUGUGACAUCUGUGGGAAAUCAUUCUCUCAAAAAUGUAGCCUUACCUCUCACAAAUACAUUC